GAGGAAGUAAAAGUCGUAACAAGGUUUCAUCUACAGUAGCCUUUGCAUCCUGGCGCGCCCAGGAGGCCCCCACGACUGAAAAUAAUGGCGGCCGUUUGCAAGUCGGGAUUCGUCUUGGCGACACAGCUAAAUUAACGGGGACUUCCAGGCCUUCGCGGUCCGGAAGAUCCGUAGCACGUCAGUGUUCACAGGCUAAAUAGUUGUGGGUUCAGUCGCUCGACUGGGCUUAAGAUAUAGUCGGUCCCCGUGAUAGAUCACCGGGAGUCAACGUUCCGUAGGUGAACCUGCGGAAGGAUCAUUAAAGAAUCGGUGACCCUCGCGGUCCCAUUCUCACCCUUUGUAUACCAAACAUCAGUUGCUUUGGCUGGCCCUCGGGCCGGCCAGAGGAAAUAAACCCUUGAAUCUUUGCUGUCUGAGUACUAUAUAAUAGUUAAAACUUUCAACAACGGAUCUCUUGGUUCUGGCAUCGAUGAAGAACGCAGCGAAAUGCGAUAAGUAAUGUGAAUUGCAGAAUUCAGUGAAUCAUCGAAUCUUUGAACGCACAUUGCGCCCUCUGGUAUUCCGGGGGGCAUGCCUGUUCGAGCGUCAUUACAACCCUCAAGCCUGGCUUGGUGUUGGGCUCGCCCCCAGUGGGCCUGCCUCAAAAUCAGUGGCGGCUCCGUCCGGUCUCAAGCGCAGUAAUGCUCGUCGCUUGUUGGUCCUGGGCGGCGGCCUGCCAGCAACCCCCAAUUCUAUAUUGUUGACCUCGGAUCAGGUAGGGAUACCCGCUGAACUUAAGCAUAUCA
rnacentral:rRNA from 1 species